GUUUGUUAUUGUUUGUGUGCUGUGAGUAAUGCAAAUAAAUUCUCUAUUUAUUAAAAAUUUGAUAUUUUGAAAACUUAUGCGUUUUUAAGAUAUAAAGCCAUCCGUCACCGCCCGACCAGUGAUCGGCGCGUGCGUUCCUGGCGCCCAUAGAUUUAUUAUAUGCAUCACGGCUCUCCUCGUUUUAAGUAACCAGCAAUACUAGAAACAUCAAACGAAUAUUUUCAUCAUCCCAAUUAUUAUUCACGUAAUGAUCGUUAAAAAGACGAAUUUUAUAAUGAUGUAUUUUUCGCAAUAUUAUGGUAUUAAUUUUAUGCAGUAAUACUAAUGUCCUUCUGUGUGGUGGUAGAAUGAAUAUUUAUUUACAAGAAACAUGAUACCUCGUAAUUGAAGAGAGAAAUCCUUUGAAAUAUAACCUGAACAAUAACGACCUCCUAACGAACUUGUCGAUGUAAUGGAACGUUACUCAUUCGAUUUCUACGAAAGCGAGGACCGCAUCAUUCCAAUUUAGAACUUAUUGCAGAAGCCAUAUGGUUACCGUGAUAUUAUGUUUAAUAUUUAUAGAGUAGCUCUGAGUUUGUUUGGCAACAAACCAUGGGAGUGUGGAGUCAUUCAUUCAGUCCGCUCCGUCGUAUGUCGAAACAUCUCAGUAGUUCUGUUUCACAAUCACAGUCUCCAUUAGACACUUCUUCCGGAUCUAUUUAGGUUGCGCAUCGAGGUUAUAAUAUAAGCCACCAUGAAAUGAACAAAGGGUAUGUUUAAUAUGAUUUAUUUUCAACAAAAUUUCAUAACACUAAUCUUAUCGUAUAAGUGCAGACUACACAAAGAGCACCUAAGCCAUAAACUGACCUAAUUUAUUAUCUAGGUAGCUAUUGAUGUUUAUUAACAAAAUAGUUUACUCAUAAAAACUUUGUUUACAGUGCUUCACUAGACGUCACGUAGUAAGAAAUUUGAUACA